GAUGAACGCUGGCGGCGUGCCUAAUACAUGCAAGUCGAGCGAACAGACGAGGAGCUUGCUCCUCUGACGUUAGCGGCGGAAGGGUGAGUAACACGUGGAUACCAUACCUAUAAGACUGGGAUAACUUCGGGAAACCGGAGCUAAUACCGGGUAAAAUAUUUAACCGCAUGGUUCAAGAGUGAAAGAAGGUGGUGCUUUCACUUAUACAUGGAUCCGCGCCGCAUUAGCUAGUUGGUAAGGUAACGGCUUACCAAGGCAACGAUGCGUAGCCGACCUGAGAGGGUGAUCGGCAACACUGGAACUGAGACACGGUCCAGACUCCUACGGGAGGCAGCAGUAGGGAAUCUUCCGCAAUGGGCGAAAGCCUGACGGAGCAACGCCGCGUGAGUGAUGAAGGUCUUCGGAUCGUAAAACUCUGUUAUUAGGGAAGAACAAAUGUGUAAGUAACUAUGCACGUCUUGACGGUACCUAAUCAGAAAGCCACGGCUAACUACGUG
rnacentral:rRNA from 1 species